UGGGGCUGUAGUAGGUCCCAAGGGUUGGGCUGUUCGCCCAUUAAAGUGGUACGCGAGCGGGGUUCAGAACGUCGUGAGACAGUUCGGUCCCUAUCCGUCGCAGGCGUAGGAAAUUUGAGAAGACCUGGCCUUAGUACGAGAGGACCGGGAUGGACGUACCUCUGGUGUACCAGUUGUUCUGCCAAGGGCAUGGCUGGGUAGCUAUGUACGGAAUGGAUAAGCGCUGAAAGCAUCUAAGCGCGAAGCCAACUUCAA
rnacentral:rRNA from 1 species